rnacentral:tRNA from 1 species
GGGGAACAGCUGAGCUAAUACGUGGCUUCUAACCAUGUAAAGAGAAGUUUGAUUCCUUUCGCUCCCCU